rnacentral:lncRNA from 1 species
UUCAUUUUCCUACCAAUGUUGAGACUGGAGCUCAGUUGCCAAAGGAACCAGAAAAGGAAGAAAUUGACGACGACUCUGGGGCUUGGGCCAGCAGAUACGGGACACAGGUGGCAUUGUGAAUGGAUCAUCAAGUGGUUCUGAGAACUGAACCCUGAGGCUGAGCAUGUCUCAGCUCCAGGGCUUGGCCAAGAAAGAAAGGAAGUCAUUUCAAAUUCAGGGAGACCACCAAACAGGACAAAGCAGCAGGACAGGGAGAGAAGUAGGAAACUGUUCGAGCUAGAUUCUUCAGUUAUUCAAGAUAUUUGCCUACCCAGCCUGGAGAGCUGAGUUUGAUCCUUGGAGCCCAGGGAAAAGAUGAAAGGAGAUGGCUAACUCCAUAACAUUGUGCCCUGGAUGCAAAUGCUUUUUAGUCCUGAACCUGUAAAAUCUAACCAAUGUAUAUUCCUCCAAUACACCUAAGGCUGAGCAGCUGCCUCUGGUGACGGCCUUGAGCAGUCCAUGAUGCCACAUGACAAGAGACACAAAGUACUCAUCUCAUAUAGUGGGAAUGAAACUCAGGGCUUUACUCCUGCAAGGCAAGCAGUCCAUCGCUGAACUGCACCCACCGCUGAACUGCACCCCACCACUGAACUGCACCCCACCGCUGAACUGCACCCCAUCACUGAACUGCACCCCACCAUUGAACUGCACCCCACCGCUGAACUGCACCCCACUGUUGAACUGCACCCCAUCACUGAACUGCACCCCACCACUGAACUGCACCCCACCGCUGAACUGCACCCACCGCUGAACUGCACCCCACCACUGAACUGCACCCACCGCUGAACUGCACCCCAAGCAGAGCUUGCUUUAUGGUGCAGCUGUGAUUACUGCGAUCACUGACUGUCGUUCCUGC